GAUGAACGCUGGCGGCGUGCCUAAUACAUGCAAGUCGAGCGAACGGACGAGAAGCUUGCUUCUCUGAUGUUAGCGGCGGACGGGUGAGUAACACGUGGAUAACCUACCUAUAAGACUGGGAUAACUUCGGGAAACCGGAGCUAAUACCGGAUAAUAUUUUGAACCGCAUGGUUCAAAAGUGAAAGACGGUCUUGCUGUCACUUAUAGAUGGAUCCGCGCUGCAUUAGCUAGUUGGUAAGGUAACGGCUUACCAAGGCAACGAUGCAUAGCCGACCUGAGAGGGUGAUCGGCCACACUGGAACUGAGACACGGUCCAGACUCCUACGGGAGGCAGCAGUAGGGAAUCUUCCGCAAUGGGCGAAAGCCUGACGGAGCAACGCCGCGUGAGUGAUGAAGGUCUUCGGAUCGUAAAACUCUGUUAUUAGGGAAGAACAUAUGUGUAAGUAACUGUGCACAUCUUGACGGUACCUAAUCAGAAAGCCACGGCUAACUACGUGCCAGCAGCCGCGGUAAUACGUAGGUGGCAAGCGUUAUCCGGAAUUAUUGGGCGUAAAGCGCGCGUAGGCGGUUUUUUAAGUCUGAUGUGAAAGCCCACGGCUCAACCGUGGAAGGUCAUUGGAAACUGGAAAACUUGAGUGCAGAAGAGGAAAGUGGAAUUCCAUGUGUAGCGGUGAAAUGCGCAGAGAUAUGGAGGAACACCAGUGGCGAAGGCGACUUUCUGGUCUGUAACUGACGCUGAUGUGCGAAAGCGUGGGGAUCAAACAGGAUUAGAUACCCUGGUAGUCCACGCCGUAAACGAUGAGUGCUAAGUGUUAGGGGGUUUCCGCCCCUUAGUGCUGCAGCUAACGCAUUAAGCACUCCGCCUGGGGAGUACGACCGCAAGGUUGAAACUCAAAGGAAUUGACGGGGACCCGCACAAGCGGUGGAGCAUGUGGUUUAAUUCGAAGCAACGCGAAGAACCUUACCAAAUCUUGACAUCCUUUGACAACUCUAGAGAUAGAGCUUUCCCCUUCGGGGGACAAAGUGACAGGUGGUGCAUGGUUGUCGUCAGCUCGUGUCGUGAGAUGUUGGGUUAAGUCCCGCAACGAGCGCAACCCUUAAGCUUAGUUGCCAUCAUUAAGUUGGGCACUCUAAGUUGACUGCCGGUGACAAACCGGAGGAAGGUGGGGAUGACGUCAAAUCAUCAUGCCCCUUAUGAUUUGGGCUACACACGUGCUACAAUGGACAAUACAAAGGGCAGCGAAACCGCGAGGUCAAGCAAAUCCCAUAAAGUUGUUCUCAGUUCGGAUUGUAGUCUGCAACUCGACUACAUGAAGCUGGAAUCGCUAGUAAUCGUAGAUCAGCAUGCUACGGUGAAUACGUUCCCGGGUCU
rnacentral:rRNA from 1 species